GCCAUCUGGGUAGGGGCUGAGUGGUUAGAGAGAGAGACCAUCUGGGUAGGGGCUGAGUGGUUAGAGAGAGAGAGACCAUCUGGGUAGGGGCUGAGUGGUUAGAGAGAGAGAGACCAUCUGGGUAGGGGCUGAGUGGUUAGAGAGAGAGAGAGAGACCAUCUGGGUAGGGGCUGAGUGGUUAGAGAGAGAGACCAUCUGGGUAGGGGCUGAGUGGUUAGAGAGAGAGACCAUCUGGGUAGGGGCUGAGUGGUUAGAGAGAGAGAGACCAUCUGGGUAGGGGCUGAGUGUGGUUAGAGAGAGAGAGACCAUCUGGGUAGGGGCUGAGUGGUUAGAGAGAGAGAGAGACCAUCUGGGUAGGGGCUGAGUGGUUAGAGAGAGAGAGACCAUCUGGGUAGGGGCUGAGUGGUUAGAGAGAGAGACCAUCUGGGUAGGGGCUGAGUGGUUAGAGAGAGAGAGACCAUCUG
rnacentral:lncRNA from 1 species